CAAUAGCGUAUAUUUAAGUUGUUGCAGUUAAAAAGCUCGUAGUCGGAUUUUGGCUGAGAACGAUCGGUCCGCCGUUAGGUGUGCACUGAUUGGUCUCAGCUUCCUGGUGAGGAGGUGUGCUUCACGGCCACUUAGUCACCGUGGUUACUUUGAAAAAAUUAGAGUGUUCAAAGCGGGCUUACGCUUGAAUAUAUUAGCAUGGAAUAACACUAUAGGACUCCUGUCCUAUUUCGUUGGUCUCGGGACGGGAGUAAUGAUUAAGAGGAACAGUUGGGGGCAUUCGUAUUUCAUUGUCAGAGGUGAAAUUCUUGGAUUUAUGAAAGACGAACUUCUGCGAAAGCAUUUGCCAAGGAUGUUUUCAUUAA
rnacentral:rRNA from 1 species